AUGUAUGUCAUCUGGCCCGCUAGCCAUCAAUGUCCAGACGGUCCCCAUGAGCCCUUCCGGGAGGUGGUGCCAGCCCUGGGAAAGUCUCAGAAGUGCAGGUCAGUAUCCGUGACUCCUGAAGGGCACCUGCCCGUAAUAUGUUUUCUCUCUUUAGGACAGACCUUGUGUGGCUGGCCUCUUGCUCCAACCGUAGCAAGACCCACGGGGUUUUCUGAAAUUGUGCCAACGUCAGGGAAAGGAUUCUGCUGUCGGUCCCACUCCAAAGUUCAAAAAAUGGGUGGUGGGCACAGAAUCCGGCCUCUGCUUGUGGCAUACGUCGUCUGCUCCCCAACCCUCAGGGGCCAGCCCAUGACUGGGGGGCGGAUUCCGAGCAUAUUCAACUCUGGGAAAGUCUGCAGUUCUGAUGACAGUUGCCUUGUUUUGAAGAGCAGUCAUCUGUGGUUCAUCUGCUUGUUUCCGUUCUCUCUCUUUCUCCCCUUUGUCUUUGGUGUUUCACUUGAUUUGUGUAUGAGGCUAAUCAAAGGGUCAACUGGUUUCUCCAUUUUAAAUCACCCACUGAAGGAUGCUGGGGUGGCACCCCACCCCACCCCCCGCGUGGGCCAGAGGCAGUGUUGGUGGGAGCUCGGAGAGUGCAGCUGUGGGUGUCAGGGUCAGGCACACGCACAGCACCUCACUGAGCUCCUUCCAAAGCAACGUCUUCCAAGGGGAGCCCCUGUGCCGGGGGUUGGGGGUGGGCGCCCGGAGUCACCCUCUCUGGGUUCUGGGGCUGGAGAGUUGGCCCCACAGGGUUUCGUCUCUGUUAACUCUGGUCAGGGUCCGCUCCACCUGCAGACUGCCCAAGGGUGGGAUGGCUGGGGGAAAGAAGCAUUCUCAGAUAUCCAUGGAUGCUCGUGGGCAGCCCCCGGGGCACUGUGCCCAAGCGUGGGCACCUCUCUGCAGGAUAAGAUUCCACCUGGGUCUCUCGCUUACCUUCCAGGGAUGCAUUGGGAGGGUUGGCCUUAG
ensembl:lncRNA